rnacentral:rRNA from 1 species
CCAGACUCCUACGGGAGGCAGCAGUGAGGAAUAUUGGUCAAUGGGCGGAAGCCUGAACCAGCCAAGUCGCGUGAGGGAUUAAGGCCCUGCGGGUCGUAAACCUCUUUUGCCGGGGAGCAGAGGUCCGGACGUGUCCGGGCCGGGAGAGUACCCGGAGAAAAAGCAUCGGCUAACUCCGUGCCAGCAGCCGCGGUAAUACGGAGGAUGCGAGCGUUAUCCGGAUUUAUUGGGUUUAAAGGGUGCGUAGGCGGUUUUUUAAGUUAGUGGUUAAACGUCGGGGCUUCACCUUGAUUUGCCAUUAAUACUGUAAGACUCGAGUUCAGACGAGGUAGGCGGAAUAAGUUAAGUAGCGGUGAAAUGCUUAGAUAUAACUUAGAACUCCGAUAGCGAAGGCAGCUUACCAGACUGCGACUGACGCUGAAGCACGAGAGCGUGGGUAGCGAACGGGAUUAGAUACCCCGGUAAU